rnacentral:lncRNA from 12 species
AUGAAAUAUCAGCAAGAAAGAGGAGGCCAUUACUGCUCUAAAACCAUCCAGAAACCAAACUGUGACUAUGCAGUCGGUCUGAUGAAAGCCCUGGAGCUAGCAAUGGUGCAAUGGAAAACUAUGCUACGAUAUUUUGAAGAGCUUUACGCCCUGAGUGUUGAAAAUGCAGACCCUCAUAGCGCAAGCACUAUCAAGAAACAAUUUAUUGGGCCCAAAAUCCGGAAGAUCAAGCUGAUGGGAGAUCUGCUGACCAAUGCUCGCAGGCUUGACUGUUCCCAGGAUGGCAGAAAUAGUCUUGGGGAUUACUUUAUGGACCGGCUGCAGAAAGAGUUCAGGAUCAGCAUAGAGCCAGAGUCUAGUGAUCACUGCAGCCCCUGCCCGCCUCUGCAGCAGUGCACAGGAGCUGCAGAAGGUCUGAAGCGACCCCAGAGAGAGUGCUCCCAGCACAGAAAUGGCAUAGGGCCAAUAUAUGCAACCAUACACUGCACCACGAUGCUGCCCCAGGGUAACGAUGGCACGGGAGCAAAGGUGAAGCAGGGCAGGGAGGGCCUUUAACGCUGAGGCUGCUGCAGCUCCUCAGGCAGACCUGUCCCGAGGGUGGAGCUGGGACCACAACUCAGGAGACACAAUGUUCUAUCACUCCUCCUGCUUUACACCCUGUCCCCUCAUCCUCUGCUGAGUCACAGCUCAAAAUCUAGCCUUAUUACUAUUUGCUUUAAAUGACAGCAAGGUUGCCAGCUAGAUUUAUCUAUGCAAUUCUUCCUAGAAGCCAAAAGUUCUUAAGCUUCCUCUUUAUCUUAAAUCAUUAAUACGAUUAGUUAGUGCAAAUUAUUUUAAGAAUACAUGUAAUUUUUAUUAAAACUAAUUAAAAAAAAAACCACUGCACCUUCAGUGCAAAGAAACUUUCAUGUGGCAGAAAAUCCAAAUAUUUAGUUUUAUAUUACUGAAUAUUUUAUAUUGUUAUUCGGUAUUUUAAAUUACUAACAAGUAUAGUAACAUAAUGAACUUUUUAAAAAUUCUUGCUUGAAAACAAAGUUUUUUAGUCUAAUUUUCAUCAUAGUAGCAAUCUAAAUAAGUAGUCUAAUGCAUUUGCUGAUCAGCUACUUCUAGUGGUAUACUUCUUCAAGAUGAAGGAUGCAAACAUUUCCUCAACAGUGGGAAUAAGAAAAUGUGCUGAUUUCUCUAUAGUUAUUGCCUAGCUGGCUUUUCUCAUCCUCAGAAAGCAGAUGGGAGAAAUUAGGAGUUCUCACUAGAUGAGAACUUUAGAGGUCCUAGGGCACAUUUUGCAAGUGUCACCGAAGAGAGUAGCUCUAGGAUUUUGUGCAGACAUAACAUAGGAUAAUUGCUUUAAUUAUGAUACAGACUCCAUCUCAGCUAGCUCACUAAAGGUAUUACUGUGGCACUCCUGCUAUUUCUUAUAUUCCCUAUUUGAUCCCAAGUAGGGGCAUGAAAUCCUAGUGAAAAAACAGCCUUGUAACAGAAUUGUAUCAGAGAAAAUGGCUACUUGUUAGUUUUGCCUUUCAAUUAGGGAUCCUAGUGAAAAAACAGCCUUAACUAGAAUUGUAUCAGAGAAAAUGGCUACUUGUUAAAUCCUAGUGAAAAAACAGCCUUGUAACAGAAUUGUAUCAGAGAAAAUGGCUACUUGUUAGUUUUGCCUUUCAAUUAGGGCAGUGUUAGCCAGCUUGGUUCAAGUGCAGAGGUGUCCAAAUUCCUCUCAUUAAUCUCCUACUAGAGUGCCUCAUUCCAAACCCUGGCUCCCAAGGUCACCUAAGAAGAGCAACUGGCUAGAUCAGCUGCUUGCAGUUAGGGAUUUUUUGUCAUUAUAUACAUCUUUUAUGCAGUUGAUUGAUUCAUUGGAAGAUUGCCUCACACUUUCAUGUAAUACUUCAGCUGAUAAUGCCUGUUUUGCUUGAAAAUAAAUUCAGUUCCAUGUCUGCAUCUCCAGUGUAUUCCUCAAUUCACCACCCAGGCAUGCUGGUACUCUUCUCCAAGAGAUCUUGCAUAUGUAUACAAAGCAGUGCCAGUAUUUUUCUACAUCUAAGGAAGCUGUGCAUGAUGGAAGAGUAUGACAGAAUGAAAAUAAAUGCCAGAAAACUGCAUUACUAUAAAAGCACUGCACAAUGAAACAUUUUUAGUAAACUCUGAUAUACAGCUGCAGUUUAGCAGCAAUUUCUGCAAAGCCCACCUUCUGUUGGUGUUGUAACAUGGGACAGAAAAUUACAACGCAGAUGCUUUCCCAAUCAUUUCUGUGAAUGUGGUUCAACUUUGGGGUGGGGAUGGGGAACACAACCACUUUAAAACAACCUCUGUAUUCAUCUAUAAAAAUACUGCCAUAUGCCACAGGAAUGGCUCAAAGCACUUUUAGAAUCAUGCUAGAUUUGCUUGUGUUGAGAUUGCUGCUCUCUUAAUACAGCAGGAGUUUAAAAGAUAUUUCCAUCUGGGCUAGAUUCCAUCACCCAUCCUCAUGCUGAGCAUACCUUAUUCAACAAUUAGUUCCACUGACUGCAACUCAACAUGAAUAAGAGCAAUGGAAUCCGUCCCUCCCAUAUUAAAAUACAGCCCACUAAAUGUGAACAGAACAAAGCUACUAACUGAAUUCUAAACUAGCGCCGCAUAAAACUACUUCAUGUACCACGAGUAAUGUUUGACCUACUUGUACAACAACUUUCACCUUUUAAAAGCUGAUGACCUUCUGAAACAUAGUUACAGCCUCCUCCAUGGUUUACAGCACUUAAACUUUUGCCUUAAACAAAGUCUAACAUAACAAAGAACCCAACUUUUAAUUUUUUCCAAACGAGACUUACUUGUCUCUUAUUUUUCCAUGAGUAGUUUCCAUGUCUGUUUCUCAGACUUCUCAUAUUCAUCUUCUAACCAAAUGUAUCCACACUCUAAGAAUUUAAGUCAUUUUCUCUCCCUUUUCCUUUGCCAGAACACGUUCUGGGCACUCUGCCUGAAAAGACAAUUCUAUUAAUUUCAGAUAAACUCACAAUCAGCUGUUUCCCCAGCCUCUACCCUCUGAAAAAGAAAAGAAAAAUCAAUUAGUUACUGUAGAUAAUAAGCUCUUCUUGUCCACGUGCUGCAUCUGCUGAGAGGGUACAAAUGCUCAUGAAUAUGGUCUCAGAUUUAACAGUACCUAUCAGUUCUGUAUAGGAUGAGUCUAUCCAUGUUUCUCAACGUAGGAAAUACAAUCUGUUUCUGCCUUCCCAGCUUCCUUUUCAAUCACAUCCUGAAAAAUAUUUCAUCAAGGAUGAAUGUAGAAUAGGUUAAGGGCAACAGCUCUUAUAAAAACUUUGCAGAUUCUCUUUCCUGAAUGCUUAUUGAUCCACACUCUCUAUAUCUGUGCUUCCAAAGCCAUGCCCAAACAAUCCAAACAACCUGGGACAGCUCUGAAUAGCUAGUGCAGCACCAGUACCCUAAACACAGCAUCCAAACUGGAAGCUCAGGAGAGACCUGAUUUUUAC